UCCCUCCAAACGUUGGCCUCCUUGGGUCUCCCGGUCCUCCCUCCGGCUCGGCCCUGUGGACCCCCCUACCCCACCCUGGAGCCGAGAUCCCCGGGUCGGAGCCCCGCUCGCUCACCCGCAGCCAAGGAAGCCGGGCUUUGCGCGGUGGGCUCCACCCGUCGGCCGGGAGAGGAUGGAUAGGGGUCACUGCUCCAUUCCACCGGCCUCUCCAGUCUCAAAAGAGUUUCCCCUGAUUUUUUUUGGGGGGGGGGGGAAAUCACUCUGCUCAGGCUAAGGCCGGACGAGGAAAAGGAUUCCGGCUCAUGAAGAAGCAGAAUUGGAAAAAGCUCGUCCUCCGUGGUGGCGAGCGUGUCUCCCCCCGCAGGUCCCCCCAGAUCUCCACCGCUCUCCUGUCCCUGUCUCAGGCUGGACUUCAAGAAGGACGUACAAUCGUAGCGUCGAAGGAGCUCGUGUAUGCAUUAGAUGCGAGACUGGGGAGAGCAUGCGCACGCUACCUGACCCGAGUAAGAAAAUAACCCACCCUGGUCCCUGAAGUAAGAGUGCCGACACCCCCGUCUGCCCUCUGAGCACGGACCAACACAAGUUCAGACUCCUGGAAAUAGCUGGCAAAAGAAAACCCGACCUGAACUCGUUCCUCUCUAAAAAAAAAAAAAAAAAAAAAAAGCAAGAGACGGGUUGAGUAACAUGCAUCGCAAUGCUCAACUUAAGAGAAUAGCUCCAAACUUUCUACCCUUCUUCACUGCCGAGGAUUUGAGUGUUUUGUUUUGUCAUUGGGGUUUGUAACCCCGGCUCCCCCUUGAACCCCUGAUCUUCCUGCUUCCACCCCCAAGUGCUGAAAUUACCAGCAUGCACCACCAUGCCCAACUUUUCUCCCCCCAUUUUUUUUCUUAUGAAGGAAGCAUUUAGUUGAGGUGGCUCACUGAUAGUUUCAAAGGUUUAAUCCAUUAUUAUUGUGAAGGAGAGCAUGGCAGCUUGCAGGCAGAUGUGGUUCUGGAGCUGAGAGUGCUCUUCUCCCCCAACUUAACAGAAAUAAAUCGUUAUUAAGUAA